rnacentral:rRNA from 1 species
GUGGGGAAUCUUCCGCAAUGGGCGCAAGCCUGACGGAGCAACGCCGCGUGAAUGAAGAAGGCCUUCGGGUCGUAAAGUUCUGUCUUUAGGGACGAAUGCACGAUUGCGAAUAGUUGUUGUGUUGACGGUACCUGAGGAGGAAGCUCCGGCUAACUACGUGCCAGCAGCCGCGGUAAUACGUAGGGAGCAAGCGUUGUCCGGAAUUACUGGGCGUAAAGGGCGCGUAGGUGGACAUUUAAGUCAGAUGUGAAAACUCUGGGCUCAACUUGGAGAUUGCAUUUGAAACUGGACGUCUUGAGGGUAGGAGAGGAAAGUGGAAUUCCUAGUGUAGCGGUGAAAUGCGUAGAUAUUAGGAGGAACACCAGUGGCGAAGGCGACUUUCUGGACUAUACCUGACACUGAGGCGCGAAAGCGUGGGGAGCGAACGGGAUUAGAAACCCCAGUAGUCC